UAGAGUUUGAUCCUGGCUCAGUUCGGAUUGGAGUCUGCAACUCGACUCCAUGAAGCUGGAAUCGCUAGUAAUCGUGGAUCAGCACGCCACGGUGAAUACGUUCCCGGGCCUUGUACACACCGCCCGUCAAGCCAUGGGAGUUGGUUCUACCUGAAGGCGGUGCGCUAACCAGCAAUGGAGGCAGCCGACCACGGUAGGGUCAGCGACUGGGGUGAAGUCGUAACAAGGUAGCCGUAA
rnacentral:rRNA from 1 species